CACUUCCCGCCACUAAACAGCAUCUCUUUGUGUGAUCAUAUUUCACAAGGAGUGACCGCUACUACGUAUACGCGCGCAGUCUUUUCAAUAGAUCAGCACACCCCUCUCUACAGGAAGCUUAUUUCGUCGACGAAGUAUACAAUUAGUAAAAAGAAGUGCCUGCUUACGAGGAAUUCCAUAUAUUUUCAAGGAAAAGAUGUAUGUUUUGAAAAGUGUUGAAAGUGACAUGCAGGAGGACUAAGCAGGGAUGAAACUGAAGUACCAUGACGUCAUGACAAUCAUGGAUGAUGACUUUUGUGUUGAAAUAGAUGGGGAACAAAUCAUUCAGUGCGAUUCUUUAUUGGAUUUUUUUUUUCGGACUUGUCACCAUUAUAUAUGCUUUCAACUAAGGAUAUCCUAGGAAAUGGCCAAACAUUCCUCUUCAUUCAGAAAGUCAUCUUAGGACUACAUGAUGAAUUCGAAGAACUGGACAGAAAGCUCUCAUCGGUGGUGCCCGAAAUAACUAGGGCGAUGUAUUAUGUUUUUUGGACUUUAUAAUAGGCAGAAUAUCAUUUUUAAAGGGAUUCUUGAGCGUUAAAAAAUGCUCAUAUUCAUCUAGAAACUAGAUAACAGUCUGGAAACAGAAAACUUGAUCCUGAAAAGAGAUACAGGUGGUAAUUUUAUUUGAUCCUGAAGUCUCUACAGGUGGUAGGUUUCUGUGAAGGGCUGAGAUUAAUUAUUGCAUUUUGCUAUUUUUAAUUAGCUUAUAUCAAAAAUGAAAACAAAUCACAUUAUUGCAUACAUAAAAUCCUGUGUAUCUUGGAAAAUGAAUGACAUAUUAUUAUGUUAAAUGUUUAUGCUGCUAUGUGUCCCAAGAUGUUGAAAGAGGCACACCUUUGGAAUAAAGUUGAAUUAUCUACAUACCAAAGAAAAUCACAUCUUUUUAUUAUUCAUAGUAAUUUGUAUAUAUUAUAACUAAGAGAUUUUUC